CCUACGGGUGGCAGCAGUGGGGAAUAUUGGGCAAUGGGCGCAAGCCUGACCCAGCAACGCCGCGUGAAGGAAGAAGGCUUUCGGGUUGUAAACUUCUUUUCUCAGGGACGAAGCAAGGGACGGUACCUGUGGAAUAAGCCACGGUUAACUAAGUGCAAGCAGCCGCGGGAAUACGUAGGUGGCAACGGUGAUCCGGAUUUACUGGGUGGAAAGGGGGCGCAGCCGGGAAUGCAAGCCAGGAGUGAAAGCCCGGGGCCCAACCCCGGGACUGCUCUUGAAACUGCUUGGCUGGAGUGCAGGAGCGGUAGGCGGAAUUCCUGGUGUAGCGGUGAAAUGCGUAGAUAUCACGCAGAACACCGAUUGCGAAGGCAGCAUACCG
rnacentral:rRNA from 1 species